rnacentral:lncRNA from 1 species
UGAGUGAGAGAGAGAGAGAGAGAGAGAGAGAGAGAGAGAGAGAGAGAGAGAGGAAACCUGGGUGGUGAGAGCUUCAGUGGAUUAGAAUUAAGGCGAGAAAAUGGUGAUUGUUGAGGAGAGGUGAAAUUGGCGGUUACGAAUCGGGAAAGGGGUUUUCUACUGCAGCGAUUGUUGUUGCAGUAGGUGAAAUGGUGGGAAGAAUUGAUUGGAGUGGCCAUACUCUCGCUUCCUGCUCUUUUGGGCUGAAAUUGGGCUUUUUAUAUCACAAGAUUUGGGAACCAAACCAAUGCAUAUAUAUGUUCCACG